UUUUAGCCCUGAUUGCAGCGAAAAGCCUUUGGUGAAGAAAACCUAUUUUUUCUUGGUUUGGUAGAGCGACCAGCGGAAGCUCCUGCCAGACCUUUGAAAAAAAGGUUUUUGAGCCAAAGCUUGCAGUGAAAAGCAGGAUUAGCU
rnacentral:sRNA from 1 species